rnacentral:rRNA from 1 species
AACGAACGCUGGCGGCAGGCCUAACACAUGCAAGUCGAGCGCCCCGCAAGGGGAGCGGCGGACGGGUGAGUAACGCGUGGGAACGUACCCUUUGCUACGGAAUAGCCUCGGGAAACUGGGAGUAAUACCGUAUGUGCUCUUCGGAGGAAAGAUUUAUCGGCAAAGGAUCGGCCCGCGUUGGAUUAGGUAGUUGGUGGGGUAAUGGCCUACCAAGCCGACGAUCCAUAGCUGGUUUGGGAGGAUGAUCAGCCACACUGGGACUGAGACACGGCCCAGACUCCUACGGGAGGCAGCAGUGGGGAAUCUUAGACAAUGGGCGCAAGCCUGAUCUAGCCAUGCCGCGUGAGCGAUGAAGGCCUUAGGGUUGUAAAGCUCUUUCAGUGGGGAAGAUAAUGACUGUACCCACAGAAGAAGCCCCGGCUAACUCCGUGCCAGCAGCCGCGGUAAUACGGAGGGGGCUAGCGUUGUUCGGAAUUACUGGGCGUAAAGCGCACGUAGGCGGACUGGAAAGUCAGAGGUGAAACCCCAGGGCUCAACCUUGGAACUGCCUUUGAAACUCCCGGUCUUGAGGUCGAGAGAGGUGAGUGGAAUUCCGAGUGUAGAGGUGAAAUUCGUAGAUAUUCGGAGGAACACCAGUGGCGAAGGCGGCUCACUG